rnacentral:rRNA from 1 species
CCUACGUGUGGCAGCAGUGAGGAAUAUUGGUCAAUGGACGCGAGCCUGAACCAGCCAAGUAGCGUGAAGGAUGACUGCCCUACGGGUUGUAAACUUCUUUUAUAAAGGAAUAAAGUGAGGCAUGGGUGCCUUUUUGUAUGUACUUUAUGAAUAAGGAUCGGCUAACUCCGUGCCAGCAGCCGCGGUAAUACGGAGGAUCCGAGCGUUAUCCGGAUUUAUUGGGUUUAAAGGGAGCGUAGAUGGGUUGUUAAGUCAGUUGUGAAAGUUUGCGGCUCAACCGUAAAAUUGCAAUUGAUACUGGCAGUCUUGAGUACAGUUGAGGUAGGCGGAAUUCGUGGUGUAGCGGUGAAAUGCUUAGAUAUCACGAAGAACUCCGAUUGCGAAGGCAGCUUACUAAACUGCCACUGACAUUGAUGCUCGAAAGUGUGGGUAUCAAACAGGAUUAGAUACCCUGGUAGUC